AUACAGAGGGUGCGAGCGUUAAUCGGAAUUACUGGGCGUAAAGCGCGCGUAGGCGGCUUAUUAAGUCAGAUGUGAAAUCCCCGGGCUCAACCUGGGAACUGCAUCUGAUACUGGUAAGCUAGAGUAUUGGAGAGGGAAGUAGAAUUUCAGGUGUAGCGGUGAAAUGCAUAGAGAUCUGAAGGAAUACCAGUGGCGAAGGCGACUUCCUGGCCAAAAACUGACGCUGAGGUGCGAAAGCGUGGGUAGCAAACGGGAUUAGAUACCCUAGUAGUCC
rnacentral:rRNA from 1 species